CCUACGGGCGGCAGCAGUGAGGAAUAUUGGUCAAUGGCCGUAAGGCUGAACCAGCCAAGUCGCGUGAAGGAAGAAGGAUCUAUGGUUUGUAACCUUCUUUUAUAGGGGAAUAAAGGUAUCCACGUGUGGAUUUUUGCAUGUACCCUAUGAAUAAGCAUCGGCUAACUCCGUGCCAGCAGCCGCGGUAAUACGGAGGAUGCGAGCGUUAUCCGGAUUUAUUGGGUUUAAAGGGUGCGUAGGUUGUUUUUUAAGUCAGCGGUGAAAGUUUGUGGCUCAACCAUAAAAUUGCCGUUGAAACUGGAAGACUUGAGUGUGUUUGAGGUAGGCGGAAUGCGUGGUGUAGCGGUGAAAUGCAUAGAUAUCACGCAGAACUCCGAUUGCGAAGGCAGCUUACUAAGCCAUAACUGACACUGAAGCACGAAAGCGUGGGGAUCAAACAGGAUUAGAUACCCGAGUAGUC
rnacentral:rRNA from 1 species